GAUGCUCCCAGCAGUUGCUCUGACACUGCCCCGCCCUCACCUGGGGCUGUGAGUCACCGAUGGGGGGCGGGGAGGGCAGGGGAUCUGGGAGUGAGAUGCCGCCACCUGCCUGUUGAUAGGACGCAGCCUUGGGGUCACUGUGUCAGAGCGGGAAUGUGCAAACGGGGACACUCUGCCCCCGGCCGGGACGGCAAAGAGCCCACCCCGCCCCCCGGGCCAGCUCUGGUCAACGGCCGGGCCCCCGAGUGGCCUCUGGGAAAGAAGGAAAGGAAGGAAGACAGGGAAAGGAAGAGGGAGGCUGAGGCAACACCCACAUCUCCACCUCCUGGUCCCGUAUGACUGAUGCCCGGGUGUCUCAAACCUUUCAUCUCGUGGUCUCCCCAUCACUGUUCUCGUACUCACUAUUUCUCUUUAAAUAGACUCACCUAAUGGGAAAACCAGCCACAAAUCCAAGGGUCUGUGAUCCCGAGUCGCCUCUGGGGAUCGCCUCUGAGGCACCCGUCUGUGCUUCAGCAAGGACGCCCUGCACCCCACUGACCGCGGGCCGCUAGCCUGGGAAUGAGGCCCUCCCCAGCAAGUCAGGGGCUGGGGGAGCCUUGAGGAAACAGCUCAGGUGAGCCGGCACUGAGAGGGGGUUGAAACCUUCCAUCGGGUCAAAGGAAAGUCGGGUGACCCAGCGAUUCCACUCCCCAGUGUGUACCCCAAAGCGGUGAAAGUUGGUGUUCAAACCAGCACUGUUCACAACGGCGAAGAGUGGAAACGAUAAUGUCCGUCCAUGGACAAAUGGACCAAAAGACAGCAGACCCGCACCGUGGAACACUAUGCAGCCACGAAGAGGAACAAAGUGCUGGCAUUCGCAGGGAUCCACCUCGAAAACAUGGUCAGUGACACAAGCCAGUCACCGGAGGCCGCAUACUAUCGGAUUCUAUGAAGUGUCGAGGACAGGCAGGUCCACGGAGACAGGAACUAGACGGUGUUGCCCAGGCUGGGGUAGGGCACGGGCAUGACUGCUGAUGGCUACGGGGCAUGUUUCUCGGGGAGGAGAAUGUUAUGGAACCAGACAGAGGUGGUGGUUGUACACGACUGUGAAUUUACUAAAUGCCACCGAAUCGUACACUUUAAAGUGGUCGGACUUAGGUUGUGCGAAUUUUACCGCAACUAAAAAAAAUAAUCCUUUAGGGGUGUCUGGGUGGCUCAGUCAGUUGAGCAUCUGACUUCGGCUCGGGUCAUGAUCUUGCGGUCUGUGGGUUCGAGCCCCGCGUCGGGCUCUGUGCUGAUGGCUCAGAGCCUGGAGCCUGCUUUGGAUUGUGUCUCCCUCUCUCUCUGCCCCUCCCCCAGUUGUGCUCUGUCUCUCUCUCUCUCUCUCUCUCAAAAAUAA